rfam:Triticum aestivum genome assembly, contig: Triticum_aestivum_CS42_TGACv1_scaffold_605048_7DL
AUAAUACUCCCUCAAUACCAAAAUUCUUGUCUUACAUUCGUCUAGAUAUGGAUGUAUCUAAUACUAAAAUAUAACUUGAUACAUCCGUAUUUAGACAAAUGUAAGAAAAGAAUUUUAGGAAGGGGGAGUAUGUA